GAGCUCUGUAAAACAUUCAAAAAGUAGUAACAUUUACUUUUGGUCUAGUUUAACACCACAGAACAAGAAACAAGUUAGACUAGCACUAUUUGAUUAAAAGUUCAUGUUUCAAAAUUUUAAACAAAAAUAGAUGUUUAAAUAUAGCAAUUAUUACGAGGUGACUGGUGCAUAUACUGUGUGUUAUGAAAUCUGAUGCACAACCUGGUACAUCUGAAUGCUAGCAGAAAAUCGUUCUGUAAAAUUAAACAUUCACUUUACAAGGAAGGACUGAAAUAUUUUUAUGAAAUCCAAUGUUAGGGAUGCUUACACUAUAUAUUCUCCCACUUUGAAACAAGUUAAUGGAAGACAGGAGAAAAAAUCAUGAUGUUAUUCUGUGCUAAUUAUAAUAUCUACAGCAGACCUCUCUUUCCUCCUCCAACUCACCAAGAGCUCACACACCCCUGCAGUAACGUAGUUGCUGGUCCAAUGAUAAUUUUAAACUCACUUUCCGUCAUAGAAAAAUGAAUUUCUAUUUAAUCGUCCCAAUUCAGUUUUUAUAACAGAAAACAAGGUAAGACUUUAUGACAAAUGGCUACUAAAAAAGCUAAGCUAAAGUUUUUUGUUUUUUUACAGGUGGCAAUGAAAUUUUUUGUUCUGGAGUCCCUCGCCUCCCUUAGGCUGUGAGUUCUACAAGCCAUCUCCUGGGUCUUUCAUUCAUCUUUACCUCAGACAGCUGGUCUCUUUCAGCCUCUUACCCACAUUUGACAUCUGCAACAGAGGAUACCGGCCAAUAGCCUGGUGGCACCCCCACUACACUGUCUGGUAUCUGCUGCCUCCAAUCUCAAAAUUCUCCUCACUAUGUAUUGGUCCCUCUGCUUGAUAAUCAUACUCAGUCUUCCAAAAACAUUACAGCCAUUAGAGAAUAUUUGACUGAAUCCCUAGAUUUUUACACUAAUAAAAACUAAGCUCACCUGAAUGCUGUUUGUUAGUCUUUUUAUCCGUUUUUUCAGUUCUUCAUUUUCAUUUUCCAUUUCUUCUUUUUCUCUUAGCCCUUUAGUAAUGGCUUUUUGCUUUUUUUGAAGUUCUUGAUUUAAAUCAUCCAUCUCAUCUAAUAAAGAGCGCUCUCUAGUUUUACUUAGUUUAAGGGCAUCUUUGAAUUUUGUAAGUUGCUCAUUUAAUUCCUCUAUAUGAAUCUAUAAAAAUAAAUUUAAAAAAAAAGUGUUUUUCAGGGUUGCCAACUAAUUAAAACAUAUUGAGGUUAACUGGGUAUAUUUCCUGGAUUCCACAAACAUUUCUCAAAUCAGUUAUUUCAUAUAUUAUCAACUAUAUUUAAGUAAUCUGUAAAGUAAAGUAAAAUAUGUUUAAAUAAUCACUUAGAAGAUAAUUUGUAAAUUCCUAUAAAUCUGUUGAUAUGUUUAAGUAGCAAAAAGUCAGUCUGAAAAACAUUUUUUAAGUUUAAAUUUAAAUAAGUAAAACAAAACCAAAAUAAUCAACUUUUGGGGAGGUUUUUUUUAAAUGGCAAAACCAAAUUUAUUUUCUGUGUUAAAAAAAAAGCUGCCUUAGGUUGAAUCUUUAUAUAUCAAGUUUAAGUCUGGUGCAAGUGUUCUAUGCGUAAAUUUUAAAAUUCUGAAGAAAAAAUGUAGGCUAAAUAGCGGUACUGCAUGUACUUAUACAUUUCGUUUGAUUAUUUGUUUUAAUAUUUAAAAACAAAUGUACACAGUGGGCCCUACCCAACUCCCAAUAAAGUCAAUAGAAAGACUAUUACUGACUUCACUGCGAGUUGUGUCAAACCAUAUAACAGUACAACAUUCAUUAUUAUAAUACUCAAAAUGAAAUUAUAAACAUUGUGUUCUCUUUUUAAAUAAGAAUACAAUGUAGAACACAGUAUAAGGAGGGUAAUUAGUGCUUACCGUGAGCUCCUUUGUUUGUUUGUCAACAAUCUGCUGAACAUUCAUGUAUGCCUCUUUUUGUGAUGCUACAGAAAUAAUCUGCUGUUCAGCAUUAGCAGUCAUUUCUGCUCGGAGCUCCAGAAGUGCUUUACUCAAAGCCUGAAAAUAUCAACAAAUUCAUUUGGAAAGUAAGCAAAAUGGUAAGUUCUGAAAAUGAAUGUUAAAAAAUUGCUAAAGGGAAUUAAAUUUUACUACCUUUUAUGUUAAAUUACCCAUCUGUAUUCCAUACUAACAGCACAAUUCAUAUCAUCUUUUGGUCUGUUUCCAUAUGAUUUACAAUGAUAAGCCAGAUUCACUGGUAUGGUCUGACUGCUUUACAAUACACUGGCAACACAAAAAUCACUAUAAAUGCAGCUUAGUUGGCUAGUUAAACUAAGUUUAAGGCUGUUUUGCAUCGCCAGAGUAGCACAAAGCAGCUUAAGUAUAUCAGUGAAUCUGGCUCCACAAAUUAUAGAGAAGUUAAAUUCUAUACCAAAUUUCAGUAAUUUUCUGGUCCUUUUUCUACAACAGGCUAUACAACCCUAAUGAAUCUCCACAAAAGGGCAUCUUUCAGGUAUUCUUUGUCCAUCUAUUAAACCCAAUAGUGGCACUUCUGAAAAAAAGUUGUGGAAAUGUUUGCUAUACAUAAUUUUUAUAGUUAUUUGGUUUUACAUCAACUUCUUGUCUUCAUGAUAGAUGCUAAAUAAUAAAAUAAUUUUAAAAAUACUUACUUUCUG